CAGGAUGCAAACUUUAACCAAAUUUCUUAUGGGGGACAGGAAAAUAGAAGACUUUCCUUGAAGCUUGUGAACACCAUGAGGGAUUUUUCUUUUCAAAUAAAAUUUCCAACUUGGUUAGGAGAUCCUUCAUUUUCUAAUUUAGUGCUCCUAAGCUUCGAAAAUGGUUAAAAGUGCAUUCCCUUGGCACUAGUGGGGCAACUACCCUUGCUCGAAGCUUUUCUCGUUAGAGGAAGAGUGUUGUUAGGGGUAUUAUAACUUACUUUUACAACUUGUUAUGAAAGUAGAAUUCUACCGUUAAGAAAUUCUUCACUUGACACAAUUACUUUAUAAACUAGUAAAAUUUCAAUACUUCUUAUGUUUAAAAAUUGAAUUGACAGUUUAAGUGACAUUUAUCAUGUCAACCAUUAAAAUAUGUACUGUCAUGUGGAAGUCCAAUUUUUGCAAUUUUCCCGAUUUCUUGAAGUUUGGUGGCUGGCAAUUGCAAGAAACAGAGGCCGGCAAAUAGAAUCCAUAAUUCUGUGAGGCAUGAAUACCAGAAGUGAAAGGAGGCGCAUGAACUUUACCUUUUUUCCAUCUCUCUGCUCAACUAGAUCGUGUAUGUUCAGUAAGAGCUGUGAAGGAGGGCAGAGAGUGGCCAUGCUCAACCCAUAUGCACAUGCAUGAUGGAGUGAGGAGGCCAAAGCAAUACAGGACACUGAAAUCCAGAACAUCCUCCAAGACCCUGUGAUCAGACAGAGUUUCGGAUUGGGAAUUAUAUGUGUUAUUUUUCUCACCAACUGAAGCAAAAACAGAAUACUCAAUGAAUGUUGUACCAGUGCACCAAUACAACCCCAGAGCAAUUACUAGAACAAGUCACUGUUAUCGUGUAUGCUUCAGAAGCAGAGGAAUUCUCUCAAGUAUUAACAAAGCCUCUUAGAUUUCUCCCUUAUCAUUGAUACACCUGGACAGAUCUUUGUGGCAUUUGAGAAACCAGAAGAAGUCCCAGCUUGUCUUGUUGUAUUGCUGUGACAGGUCAAGAGGCAUUUAAGCCUCCUUUAUCAGCAAAAGGGUGCCCAAAGAUGUUUGAUAUCUUCGUCUCUACAACCCAAAUACCAGAAAAUGGAUGGCGCUGAGACAUCUUUGUAAAUAUCUGAACAACAACAAUAAAACUAAAUUGUCAUGUUGGUGACAUCUUUGCCCAUUUUGUUCUUUGUCAAAGAUGGCCCCAUGUUUUAAGGUGGUGAGCAUUCAGCAUGCAAACUUUAACCAAAUUUCUUAUGGGAGACAGGAAAAUGGAAGACUUACCUUGAAACUUGUGAACACCAUGAGGGAUUUUUCUUUUCAAAUAAGAUACUGGCCAAAGCAAUGCAGGACCCUGAAAUCCAGAACAUCCCCUAAGACCCUGUGAUCCGACAGCAGAAACAGAAACAGAAUACUCAAUUGAAUGGUGUACAAGUGCACCAAUACAACCCCAGAGCAAUUACAAGUCACUGUCAUUCUGUAAGCUUCAGAAGCAGAGGAAUUCUCUCAAGUAUUAACAAAGCCUCUCAGAUCUCUCCUUUAGGAUACACCUGGACAGAUCUUUGUGGCAUUUGAGAAACCAGGAGAAGUCCCAGCUUGUCAUGUUGUAUUGCUGUAAUAGGUCAAGAGGUGGAAGCUCACCUUAUAUCAGAUUCAUUUUUCUUACACAUUCACCGUCAGAGGUCAAGAGGCAUUUAUACCUCCUUGUUCAACAAAGGGUGCCCAAAGAUGUUGGAUAUCUUCAUCUCUACAACCCAAAUACCAGAAAAUGGAUGGCGCUGACGCUGAGACAUCUUUGUAAAAUAUCUGAACAACUACAUGUUGUGGUGUAACUUGUAUUUCACAAGUCAUACGUGUGGCCCAUUCGUUGUCUUUGGCUUAUAGUGUUCUAGUAAUAUUUGCCUCUCCUUUUACAAGUAGUAUUGGAGACUUGAGGUUAUUACCCUAGCCGAAGUCAGUGUUCCACUACUACUUGUUUUUGGAGUAUCCCUUCACCGACUUAUUGCCUUAUAAAAGGGAGGCUUUGCAACAAGGCAAAGUGGAAGAAAAAUUAGAAGCCACAUGUCUCAUUAGGGUUUUCUCACUUUGCUGUGCCUUAUGGCACUUAGAGAAGAAUAGAGUUUUCUUUGUCAAUUUUCUCUCUUGUGUGAGAGUGAGAUUUAGGUGUAUUGGGGCUUUGAGUUUUGAGUGAUUUUCUUCCUGUUAUCUUUGUACUCAAUCUUUUAUUAGUGAAUUUCUUCCGGGUCGUCUUCGCCAGUGGAUGUAGGCUUGUUAAGCCGAACCACUUAUAUCUUGAUGUCUUGUGUGAUUGAUCUAUUUUCUAUUAUGUUCUUUUCUACUUCUUUGGGAUCCUAUAUUUAAUUCCGUGCGCAACACUACAUUUAAAUACCAGGAAAUUGAUGGUGCCCAUUUUAUUCUUCGUCAAAGAUGGCCCCAAGUUUAAAGGUGGUGAGCAAUCAGCAUGCAAACUUUGAACAGAAUUCUCAUCGGAAACAGGAAAAUGGAAAACUUUCAUUGAAGCUUGUGAAGAUCAUGAGGGAUUUUUUUUUUUUUUCAAAUAAGAUAGUCGUAUGCAAAGCAGUGGGCAAAUGCUCGUAAAAAUCGAAAUGUUACCGCUUUCAGUA